AAAAACAGGAAAGCUGUAACCCUAGUUCAGAAACCUCUUUUGGGGGAAGGGUAACUUCAGAAACUAUCUGGUAAUGAAAAUAAAUAAUUUUCAUAGCUGCCAUUCCCGGGGGCUUCAAUCACCAGCUCCUCCAUCAUCAGGUGACCAAUUACCUAGAUUUAGCCUGAUGAUAUUACUGUCACUUGCACCAACAAAUUAAAGCUUGCUCAACACAACUAUAGAGAAUCCUCUACCCACAGAAACUCAUUACAUGUAAUCAUCUUAACUUAAAUAGUUCCUGUUAGAAUAGUUAUGUAAAUAGGAGUGAAUAACCCUAAUCUCAUAUGUAUUAGCCUCAACAUAAUAAUAGAGAGAGUCCUCUACCCACAGAGACUCAUUACCUGUAAUCAUCUUAACUAAAUAGUUCCAAAUCAAAAUUAUAAUGUCGCCAUCAUCAUAACUUAAAUAGUUCCUAAUCAAAAUCAUAUUGUCAUCAUUCCAUCAAAAAAAAUUAUAAUGCCAUCAUGACUCAAUGCUAAAGAUGAGGGGUUAAAGGGUGGAUAAAAGUGUCUCAAGCUGUUUUUCUUAUAACCGUGGUGUCUAGGCCAGACUGCGCGCACCUUGAAUAAUUCCACUGAAUAUGCGCUACCUCCAACCAGCACAGAUACUAGGUAAAACUAUCUACCAAGGCUUAGAGCCUUAGACAGAUGGAAAGAAAUCACCUUAGUAUUUUUUACCUCCGCUAGGAGUUGAACCUAAGACCUCACUGUUCUUAACCUACUUCAUUGACCUCUAGGUAACAUAUGCCAAAUAAAAGCUAACAAAAGCAUAAUAUGACACAAAAAGAAUAAACAAAUCCACUUUAUCAUCCUAAAUAGCACCGCGUCCUAUAUCUCUCAGGCCAAAAAAGCAAAUUGAUUCAAGCAAAGAGCUAUGGACUUUGAAAUUAGUAGAAAAGGUAAGGCCUAAUAAGGUGUCAAAGCUCUGAAAAGACAACUCAUUAGUGAUUAGGUAUAUCAUAUAUAAGGAAGAGGCAAGAACUGUUCCCAAGUUCUUCAUCAAAAGGAACUGUUCCCAAGUUAACUGAUGUACAGGUCAUUUACCGACAGGUAGAUACAGAAUAUGAUGUUAUGAGAAUACUCGAGGAUGAGUUAAAGUAUGCUAC
rnacentral:lncRNA from 1 species